rnacentral:misc_RNA from 1 species
GAUGAAGAACGUAGCUAAAUGCGAUAAGUAAUGUGAAUUGCAGAAUUCAGUGAAUCAUCGAAUCUUUGAACGCACAUUGCGCCCGCCAGUAUUCUGGCGGGCAUGCCUGUUCGAGCGUCAUUACAACCCUCAGGCCCCCGGGCCUGGCGUUGGGGAUCGGCGGAGCCCCCCGUGGGCACACGCCGUCCCCCAAAUGCAGUGGCGGUCCCGCCGCAGCUUCCAUCGCGUAGUAGCUAACACCUCGCGACUGGAGAGCGGCGCGGCCACGCCGUAAAACACCCAACUCUUCUGAAGUUGACCUCGAAUCAGGUAGGAAUACCCGCUGAACUUAAGCAUAUCAAUAAGCGGAGGA